rnacentral:ncRNA from 1 species
UGUAAAGCGUUGAUAGGGAGGAGUAGUUGAUUGUGAAGCCUCACAGAGAGUCGGUGGUUGCUGGAAACCGAUGGUUCACGUCGACGAACAUCGCCCUUGAGUGCUAAGCUGAAGCAUUUGCCUAGGCUUAGACGGUAGCUCCGUUAUUAGCUAGGCUCUCUCAAGAGUCACUGAGGCAAGAACUGUUCUUGCGAAGAAGGGUGGUACCGCGAAAUCUUUCGUCCCUUCA